UACGUAGGUGGCGAGCGUUAUCCGGAUUUACUGGGCGUAAAGGGAGCGUAGGCGGACUUUUAAGUGAGAUGUGAAAUACUCGGGCUCAACUUGAGUGCUGCAUUUCAAACUGGAAGUCUAGAGUGCAGGAGAGGAGAAUGGAAUUCCUAGUGUAGCGGUGAAAUGCGUAGAUAUCGGGAAGAACACCAAUGGCGAAGGCAGGUCUCUGGGCCGUUACUGACGCUGAGGAGCGAAAGCGUGGGGAGCGAACAGG
rnacentral:rRNA from 1 species